CGCAGCCGCGGUAAUUCCAGCUCCAAUAGCGUAUAUUAAAGUUGUUGCAGUUAAAAAGCUCGUAGUUGAAUUUCGGGAUCAAAGGAUCGGUCAUGCCUUGGUAUGUACUGGUUUUAUUGGUUCUCACCUUCUAAAGAACCAUAAUGUCAUUCAUUUGAUGUUAUGGGGAAUUAGGACUGUUACCUUGAAAAAUUAGAGUGUUUAAAGCAGGCUUACGCUUGAAUACAUUAGCAUGGAAUAAUGAAAUAGGACAUCAGAUUCUAUUUUGUUGGUUUCUAGGAUCGAUGUAAUGAUUAAUAGGGAUAGUUGGGGGCAUUAGUAUUCAAUUGUCAGAGGUGAAAUUCUUGGAUUUAUUGAAGACUAACUACUGCGAAAGCAUUUGCCAAGGAUGUUUUCAUUAAUCAAGAACGAAAGUUAGGGGAUCGAAGACGAUCAGAUACCGUCGUAGUCUUAACCAUAAACUAUGCCGACUAGGGAUCGGAUGAUGUUAAUUUAUAAUGACUCAUUCGG
rnacentral:misc_RNA from 1 species